AAAAUAAUGAAGGUUUAUGGUGAGAUAUGCUG
rnacentral:guide_RNA from 1 species